ACGCACGCUGGCGGCGUGCUUCACCCAUGCAAUUCGAACGGAAAGGCCCUGCUUUUGUGGGGUGCUCGCGUGGCGAACGGGUGAGUAACACGUGAGUAACCUGCCCUUGACUUUGGGAUAACUUCAGGAAACUGGGGCUAAUACCGGAUAGGAGCUCCUGCUGCAUGGUGGGGGUUGGAAAGUUUCGGCGGUUGGGGAUGGACUCGCGGCUUAUCAGCUUGUUGGUGGGGUAGUGGCUUACCAAGGCUUUGACGGGUAGCCGGCCUGAGAGGGCGACCGGCCACAUUGGGACUGAGAUACGGCCCAGACUCCUACGGGAGGCAGCAGUGGGGAAUAUUGCACAAUGGGCGGAAGCCUGAUGCAGCAACGCCGCGUGCGGGAUGACGGCCUUCGGGUUGUAAACCGCUUUCGCCUGUGACGAAGCGUGAGUGACGGUAAUGGGUAAAGAAGCACCGGCUAACUACGUG
rnacentral:rRNA from 1 species